GACAACAUUGUUGCAUCUCCUGCAGAGAGACGUGCCUAUCAGCCAGCCGGCAGGAUCGAGGUAAAUAAGCCUAAAUGCAUGUACAUGCUACGUGACAGGCUUCUGUCAGAGCAGCAGGGGGGCAGUGGCACAGAUCUAUUCUGCUCAGCUUUAACUCACGAUCGUGAGGGUUCUCUUCCAUCCAAGGAAAACAGGACCUGUGCUUCUACAUACGAGUACUUAAUGAUAGCUAAGGACAUGGGAUUUUUCCCUCCUUUCCAUUAACCCUCAGUCAUAACACAGUGUCCUCAUUUUAAUGUGUCUGCUUCUCCCCUCAGUUUUCCUCUGUAUUAAAGAAUUACUGCUGUGCCCCCUCUUUUUUUCCUUUUACAAGAUAAUAAUCCCUCAAGUGUAAUUGCACAAGCAGAUUUCCUGCUGUGUAUCAGCCAGUAAAGUAAUGACUCAGACCACGGAUGUUAUUUGUUACCACUAUCUGCUCCGUCCAGGUCAUUAACAUUAACAAUUGGCUUUGGAUCAGUUCAUAUUUUAGUGUCCAUUUAAGAUCAGAAAGGGAGGAAAGAGGGACAGCAGCAGAGGCCACGUCUUAAUUAAGACUGACUUAGGAGUCCACUCAUCAGAAACAAGGCUGGUCUUUUACUUUGAAAUCAAAGUCCCAGAGUGGCUGGCAUCCUCACUUUUUCAAAGAUGGGUCAUUAAUUGGACACAUCUGUUGGAGAAACCCAUAAGAGAUUAGCCUGGUCUCCAGAAUGCUGUUACUUAGUAAUUAGGCUUCUGUCCCACUCCGGACAAAGCACAGCACCGCCCUGAGAAAACACCUCAUAUUUCAGGAGGUGAUGAAAUUCAUUAUUCAUUUAAAGCAAUCGGCCAGCUCUGCUAUACGUAAGAAAAGCAACAUGAACAUGGAGAAACAAAAUGCAGUGGUCAACAAAAAAAAAAACACGUACAAAGUCUUUGGCAAAGAGUGUCAGAACAAGACUUUAAAUAACUACUUCAUGUUAAUUAUUGAUCUGAUUGAAUUUAACUCAAACUGGCAGCCCUGUGGAGGACUGUGAUGUGUUAUGAUCCAGAGGACAAAACUAAUCUUACAAUGAUCAAACAUCAGACUGGUUCAUCCUUUAGAGGGUUUCUUAAGAGAAACAAAUUUCCAUUAAAAUGACAAAAUAACAGCUUGUUGUAAAAUUAAUUUUCCGAGAAAACUCAUCUGUACCUAAAAUGGUAUAGCCACGAUAAUGCAGCUCUUCGGCGGUAGUUGUCAGCCUGUUGGUCAGUCAGUCAGUCCUGCGGACUUUUGCAGACAUCCUGUUGUGAGCAGAUAAACCCUCCCUGUGAUGGGAUCUCCUGACCCCUGCUCUCACAACAGCUAAAGGUCAAAAUGUUCACCUGAAAAUAAAAUUCUUCAUAUUCACACAGGUAGGUUGGCCAACACUGUGAUUCACACACUCAGCUCCAAAUAUAGCUAGCUGUAAAACCAAAAACAUUUCUCUCAGCCUCAGGUAUACAUUGUGUAUAGAAGAAGGGGAGACUGGGUGCGGUUUUAACAUGCUUUGCUUCAGUGCCUGCAACUCACUGAAUUUUUUAGCUACAGUUCUCAAACUUGUGCACAAAGUAGCUUUAUUUGCUGACUAUAAACAGAAGAAAUUUAAACCUCUGCAAAAAUGACACAGCCCUCAAACAAAGACAUGACACCCAUUCAACUCAUACUAUUAUGAUAACAUGACACUGUCAAACUCUAGACAAUGUAAGCUUGCAGUCACCCGAAGGUGUGUAGUUUUAGAGCUUCUGGUGUUUUAGUAUGAGCAUCUGCAAACAUAGUGAGACAUUUAGGCAGAGGUGAGCACAGUGAAUCAAAGCUUUAACUCUAUUAACUUCUAAGAUGUCAUUCCUUUAAUAUGUUUAACAGAAGUGAGCAUUUAUGGGAACUUAAAAACCUGAUAAAAGUCAACAGUCCUCUCUCCUCCUGCUGCACCAGAGAGAGUCCCCUUGACUGAGGUCCAGUAAUAGAUUUGAUCUAAACAUAUUGGGCUCUAUUUUUAUGUACGCCGGUGAGGGCGGAGGGCGUUUGGACACACAACCUGACCUAAUCAACACAGCUGAAACCGCAUUAAAUUAAAUUAAAUAUCUAGUAAAUAGACACACAUGAUAAAGUUAACAAGAUAUGUAAUUCCUCUCCCUCUUUUCUUUCUUCCUCUUCCUCUUAUUUCUCGCACAGCUCGACCUGGACAUGUCUCCGUGUCCUCUCCCCGUCCUGCUGCAGCUGCUGCUGCGGCCGCUGCUGCAGCCGCUUAACAGAUGAUUUGUUUCAGUGCUCAGAUGAGUUAUUUACUUUAAGCCUACACAUGAAUAUUAUAAUAUUCAGUUUUGUGAGCCAAAUUUAUUUUAUAUGCCAACAUCUAUGAAAGAAAGAGCCAGGCCACCAAAAUACCAAAUUGUGCUUGGGAACACCUUGUAGGCACGGCGGACCUGACUUACGCCGCGCCUGUGGCACGUCUCCGGCAAGGCACAAAAAUAGAGCCCAUUAUAUCCAUUAAGACCCCUGUACUUCUUUAAAUCUAUAUAGGCUAAAUGAUAUUGCUCAAGUUGUUUGUGAUCCAUUACCAUUCAGAGAUUCCUCCUCUGCGUAGAUCCUGCUGAUGGGAAUUCAGGCUCUUAUCAGUGAUUCUGGCUGGCAACUCAGCAUCAUGUUCAACCCACUAAUGGCUCUUCAUGGGAUAGUUUACAUACAACAGAUGGGUUUUGGGGAGGAUUUCACACCUACAUUCAUCAUUUGUUCAAGGCUUUCUGACUUUUCUGUUCCGUCAGAACCAAAAUGACAGGUGUAAAACCUCCCCUGGACCUUGUUCUAAAGUCUAGACCAAACAGCCAGACUAUGAUCAUGUGCCUAAUUAGUCCAUGGCUUUCUAGGUGAACACCACAAGUAGUUUUUAACUGGUCAUGUCCCAUUUUAAUACACAGACACUUUCACAGAACAGUGAGACCGUCACCCAGGAAGGAAAAAAAACAACACUUUUUCAUGGUCCAUCCUAAUGCUGAGUCUAAUUUCCACACAGACAAGUUUUACAGCCUGUUUAUCAAAGGGUUAAAAGAACAUAAGGCAUAUUUAUAUAGAGUUUUGUUUUGACAACAGAUUUUCUGGUUGUGGCUGCAGCAGGGACAUAAACAAUGAAGGAAGGAAAAAAGGACAGAGACAUCAAGAAUAACCAGCUGAUGAUCAGACAGAUGCUGAAAAUAAAGAGAAUCCAAAAACUUUCCAGACCAAGAGGAAGCCCAUGCAUUUUCUCUUAAGUAUACAAUACGUCAUCAAAGGGAGUUUGAUAGUUAUGUCUAAAAUCUGUUUGCACACUGAUGUUUACAUUUCCAUACGGCAAACCAGGUGGAGCUGCUAUCAUUACUCAUCACUGAAAGAGUUGUUAGUUUUGAGUUAAACCGGUGCUUUGUUUCUAAUGGGUUUCUUUCACAGAAAUUCCUGCAACAUUUUACCCGAGCUUUAAUCCUAUUUGUCCCAUGUUUCUAAAGAAAUAGGGUCAUAAAUAUCUGACAAAACUUCCAUGCAUCUAAUGAUUGAGUCAACUCAAAUACUGACAGAGGCCCACAGAUCCACUCUGACUCUUGCCAUGAUGAGGCUUUAGGCUCUGACAUCCUCUGAUAACCAAGUACUCAAGGACUAAAAAAUAUGAAUUGCUUUCCUCCUUGGCUGAUGUAUUUUUUAAUAUCAAUAUAAAACAUAUUGAAAUUCUGAGACGUUCCUCCCCUUUGACUUUGUUGAUAUAUUUUUUAAUCAAUCACUUGUUGAAAGCUGCAAAAUUAGUUUGCAACACACUACUGAAGGAGACACGGAGAUGAAUACUUCCAAGUCCUCCAAAAGCUUGACAGUAAAAUCCUGCAGUGCACCCACUGAGAUUUAUUAAGAAUUAAUGAGUCAUUUACAAAGAUGUUAUCAUACUGUUAAUAUCAGAGAAAUGUAAACUGUAAAAGCUGGAGGGCUGUCAUAGAAAUCUAAAAACUCAGCAUCUUAGUAGAACAGAACAUGGUGAGGAAAUUUCAAAUAAAAUAUUUAUGCGUCUUUUUGUUUGGAUAGUAAUAGUGAAAAUUUAGAAAUCCAGCAUCUUACAUUAUUAGACAAUGUCUUCAGAUUAAUCAAAAGUUCAUACUGACAUUUCUGACUUCUUAGGUGUGUGUCCAUUUGUAAUUUCAGUGCUUAUUUUGGCCCCUUUACCACCAGUGACUUCAUCACUGUAGUGCAGUCAGCCUGUGGUCCUGCUGAGGUGGUACUAAAGCUCAAGCUGCUUUGAUAGCUCCUUCAGCAUGUCUGGAUUUUUAGAUCAUAGGUUUCUCAUUUCUCUUGGAAACACCCCGUAAUAUCAUAGUGAUCAUUUGGUAGGAAUUUUGGCGCUGUGGGCAGGGUCCAGGUCCUGCUGAAGAAGAAAAUCUGAAGCACCUUGGAUUCUGGGCCUCUCUGAUCUUCCUUCGGACUCUGGACAUGUCUCCGUGUCCUCUCCCCGUCCUGCUGCAGCUGCUGCUGCGGCCGCUGCUGCGGCCGCUGAGCAGAUGAUUUGUUACAGUGCUCAGAUGAGUUAUUUACUUUAAGCCUACACAUGAAUAUUAUAAUAUUCAGUUUUGUGAGCCAAAUUUAUUUUAUAUGCCAACAUCUAUGAAAGAAAGAGCCAGGCCACCAAAAUACCAAAUUGUGCUUGGGAACGCCUUGUAGGCUCUGGUUCAGGAAUCUCUUGAUCAUAGGACUAUGACACUUGUAGUCCAUUUGGGCCGGUCUGUGUGCAGAGGCUCUUGGUGCUCUGACUCUAGUCUCAGUCCAGUUCUUGUGAAGCUCCCCUAAGUUCUUGAAUCUACUUUGUCAGUCCUCUGAAGGCUGCUCUCAUCCCUGUUUCCUGGUCUCCUUCUCUUCCCUCACUUUUCCCUUCAGUCAACUUUCAUGAAUCUGCUUCAUACAGGCUCUGUGAACAGCAGUGACCUGCAGCCAUGAUAACUUUCUGGACAGCUGUCAGGUCAGCAGUCUUCUCCAUGAUUGUGGUAUACAAUAUUUUAGUAUGUUUGAAUAGUUAUGCACUCACACUCCAAAAGAAGUACUCGAAUAUUUUGAGGAAUGUAUUUCAACAUUUUCUGAGCUGUAGGCCAUAAUUACCUGAAUUGAAACAGAAAAUGUCUGAAACAUUUUAGCUUGCAUAUAAAGAGUCUUGAAUAUAUAAAAUUUUCAGUUUCUUCAGUGACUGACAGGAAGCAAUGAACUUUUUCCACAGCAUUCUUAUUUAGUGGGACACACCCAUAAUUAUUUUCUGUUGUCCCUUUUAAAUAUAUACAGUGCAUCCGGAAAGUAUUCAUGCACUGUAUGGAUGCACUGUAAAUUCCUUUGGAUAGAUGCUUAAUGUCAGCUGCCACAGAAAAGGCUUCAAUCCAAAGUUUUGAAGGUGCUGAUUUAUUUCUCAUGAUUUCCUUUAGUCUGGUUAAUGAUCCUAUCUGCCUGUAAUCUUCAGAAAGUCUUAACAGACUAUACUUAGACAGAGGGGACUCGUGGCAGGAGGAAAUAAUUAAAGGUCAAAGUGAGGUGUACAUACCUGUAUCUUACAAGCUGCGUUCAGAAACACUGAUUAAUAACAUCUUCGGAUAGAAGCUCACGUAUCUCUUAAUAGCUCAAAUGCUUUAUGAAAAAUAAUCCACCUCCAUGGACUUCUCACUUAUCAGACUAAGAAUGUAGGUUUUCUCUUUUCAGAUGCUCAUUUAUCUCUCAAAAGAAAGUGCUACAUGACAGAGGGAUGUAAUGGAUAUUUAAUGUCACAUUUGCAGCGUUUGUAUCAGUGUCUAUGGAAUUAUUUAAAUAAAAAAGCCUUGUUAUCUGCAAGUCCAUUUAGGCUUUUUGCUUAAUAUGGGGCUGUUAUCAACGGCACAGCUCAUUAGCAGAUUUUUGAUUCUUCUUUCUCAGGGCCAGGCCCUUUGAAUUUCUGUGGUAUGAGAAUACAGUCACCGCCAGCCCUGUUUCUCAGACAGAGACUUUAUUCCUGCAAAUUCCACUGUUCUGAACAUUAAUUUCACUGGACAGCUGCUAAAUGCUGCUAAAAUGCUUUGAGGAUUCUAUUUGCACCUCCUGAAAUGAUUUCCAAGCACAUUACCUCAGAUCCAUUAAAUCCAGCUUUGAAUCUCUUGACAGUUCUGUGAGUCCUCCUUGGAGCCACAUGUAACAUUCCCAUGUGAUUACGACGCUCCUUGAUCAAUCUGAGUGAAUCACUUCAUGAUUGAGCGCCUGACUCUCUCCAGUCUUGGGCCUGAAAUUGUCCUUUAUAGAUUUGGUAUUAUAUCUCCGGCACUCCUCCUGUGCCAUUAGCCAGACAUUCACAUUUUCAAUUUCACCUCUCUGCCUCGUCUUGCCUCCAGAUGAGGGUGACACUCACCAUCGCAGUGUUGACUUGUCUUCAUUUCAUACAUGCUGUAUGUGACAGCAACAGAUAUGCUUCAAUUUCACCAACAUUGCUGUUACAAGGACAAAAUAGGAAGCCAACUCUUAACUCAGCUUUGUUUUAGUGCUGAGAAGUAAUCUAAGCCUGGAAGACAGCUCCAGUCCUAUUUUCUCUAGAUGACACAGGUUGGAUGGGUGACUACAGGUCCAAUCAGGCCCUAUCCAUCACAAGCUGUUAUAGGCCGUGCAGGUGAGUGAUAAUGCUUAGAGGCUCUCAGAGGACCGCAUUUCAGCGUUUCAUCCACAACAGACAGCCUACGCCAGUGUGACCUGCUUGUUGAACAUUUUUCACAGGGAGGGGGGGCCUCAAUUCAGCAGAGCACUGCUGAGCUGUGCACAUCUGCAUAAGUUGCUGUCAGACUGAAGAUAGUAUUGUGGAUGGUUGUGUUAUCACAAAAGGAACAGCUUUUGUGGCAGCCUUGUGGAAUACUAAGUGUUUGUAUUUGCAACACAACAUCCAUCCCGAGGUAUUCAUUUCUUACUUUCUAUGGCCCUUGUAUGGUAAUUCAUCAUCCAGGUCUUGAUGCAUACUGUGAGAUUGCCCAGUGAAUUUAUUAGCCACCGGCUUUCAUGCCGCCGUAGAUUCCCACUGGAUAUAAAAGCUUUACGGACAUCAGACCUCAAUGCAAACUUCCCUGCAGAAUUUGUCACUUUUCUCUGCCCUCCUAAAGAACAUAAAGAGCCAAAGCCAGCAGAGAGGAAAUAACGGUUCAGACUGCUGGCGACCACUCUGUGGUUUCUUUGCUAUGCUUGAGCUUCAAAAGCAGGUAAUUUUGCUUUGGUCAGAGGGAAUGGAAAUAGCCUUGCUGGGCAAUGUGGCGGAGGUUUAAUAAUGGAAAGCAAGGUCUCAAGGGACAAGUCCAUUUUUCUGAGCAACAGACAAAGUCCAUUAUUCUCACUGUUUCUUUGCCUAAUGCAGCCUUUUAUUUGUAAGUGAAUAUCGGAGGUGGGUUGUUGCUACAGAUCAAAAGCACAAAUGUGUGCAACUGUGAGCCGUGUCCUGUAUAUCACUAUUAAGACACCUUGACAUAGAACAAAAAGUGUCCCUGGGCACAAACAUAUUGUGAAAGUGCAGCUCGCUCCUCUGUCUGAUGUAGGGUUGGGGGAUCUGGCUGGAAAGCUGGAAUGUUUUCUUUACGUUUAGAAGCUUUUUGUUCAAGAGUGAAAUUUAAAAAAAAACAGGCUAUCUACAAAGAAAAAAUAGAGACUUAGACAUGUGAUAAACCACAUAUGACACCUAACCUAAGACUCUUUGUUUUAGCGUCUGCCUGAAGCAUCUUGGGAAGUGUAGUCAGUGUAAAAUGGUUCAAUAACUAUCUCCACUCUCUCUUUUUCAACAUUGCUUAUUAUGGAUGUCCUGAUCAGCUGUUUUGGCCCUCAGCCGGUGUCCACUUUUGUAAUACUUGAAUACCUGUUUCAACUUUUGCCUUUCCUUUUCCUCUGACAAUUAAAUUUAUCAUUUUAUUACAUUACAGAUGUAGUGUUCACACUGCAUAUUUAAUUGGUUGCACUAUAGCAGUUGGACAGUGCCAAAUCUCAGCAAAGGCGACGCCUAGUCUAUGUCACCACCAGUCCAUAUGGAGUUUAUCCAUAGGACUGAACGGGACUGCAGACGAGAGACCACCAGGGACUCCAGGCUGGUGCAGGUUGUGACGUUGCUGCAUCGUAGGUACAGAAUUCACAUAAAAUUUCCGUCUGCAAAUGACGUCUGAACAAAGUACAUCAUUCACUAAGACAUGACACACAGACAUUUGCAAUGCUCGUUGUCACUACACAAGCUGUUUAUUGUCCAAAAAGAUCAACUCUAAACCAUGAUUUUUAUUAAGAUUGGCUAGAAAGGCACUCUGUGAACAUGGUGACAAAAUCAGACUUUACACUGAUUAACAAAGGUGGAAUUACAUAUCACAGAGCUGGCUAAUGAUAGAUAGAAUUAGCUAGCCAGCCUGCCACCGAGUCUUUUCCUUAACUUUAUAUUUACCGUCAUGUUGAAAUUCAAUGAAUAGAUUUAUGCAAUUUUUCUAAAUUUUCCCUCUGCUUGCUGAGUUUUUUAGUUUACGACUUUAUUCUCAUAAUUUUACGACUUUAUUUUCAUAAGUCACUUCAUUCUCGUACAUUUACGAAUUUAUUCUCAUGAAUAAUGUCUUUAUUUUUGUAAAUUUACUUCAUUCUCAUAAGUAAUGGCUUCAUUUUUGUAAGUUUACAACUUAUACUCAAAAGUAAUGACUUUAUUCUUGUACCUUUAUGACUUUAUUCUUAUAAAUAAUGUCUUAAUUCUAGUAAGUUUACUUCAUUCUCAUAAGUAAUGGCUUCAUUCUCUUAGGUUUAUGACUUUUUUCUCAUAAGUAAUGUUUUAAUUUUCCUAAGUUUAAUUCAUUCUCAUAAACAAUGUCUUAUUUUCGUAAGUUUACUUUAUUCUCAAAAGUGAUGACUUUUUCUCGUAAGUUUACAACUCUAUUCGUGUUAGUAAUUACUUUAUUCUUGUAAGUUUAUGACUUUAUUCUUAUAAGUCACUUCAUUCUCAUACAUUUACAAUUUUAUUCUUAUAAUUAAUGUCCUUAAUGUCCUUAAAUUCACUUUAUUCUCAUAAGUAAUGGCUUCAUUCUCCUAAGUUUACGACUUUACUCUCAUAAGUUAUGACUUUAUCCUUGUAAGUUUAUGACUUUAAUGUCAAAGUCUUCAAAAAAAAAUUUCUCAAUGUGUUCCUAAUACUUUGUCAAAAUGUUUCCCUCAACAGAAUUAUGAUAAUAUAAAUAAUGAUAAAUAUAAUUAUCAUCGGACUGCACAACCCUAGCUUAAAGUACUUCUUUGUCAGAGCACUCCACAGCAUCCCUUUACUGGAUGAAAGUAAAAAUGAAGCAUUUCUGUCAUCUCAGUUAUCAGACAUUUCUUGCUGUGCAUUAUGAAGCCUUUUAUUAUCUAUUAUUACAGAGUUCAUUUGUAUUAUCUCUGGACUGUGAUGUUGUUAAUUACUGUAAUGAUAUAAAACCUGAGGAGGUGGCCAACCACACUAUUUUUUUUGUUUUUGUGUACCUGUUUUUGUGUUAGGAGGACAAGUGCUGUUAACCCAACUCACUCUUGAUUUACAGCUGCUUGUAUAUCUGCUGUAGUCAACAUAUUCAUCACUGAAAGUGACAUUGCAUUAUGCUGACUCUCCCUCGGGGAAUGUUAACAUUAAACAUCAUGCUCAUGCAGCAUCAUGAAAGCCCUGAGGGGGCUUUGCGGGGGAAGAGUGUGUGUGAAAACUUCCAUAUUAAAAGCAUUAUAAAGAGCAGAUUUUCCCCUCCCACCUCCCUCAUGAAAAAUGUACAGCGGCAUAUUCAUUACUUCAUUGAGCUAACUGAGUGUGACAAGCGGAGAGCUGCAGCAGCCGGGGGCAGGGAAGCAGCACUACAAUAAAGCCUUGGGCCACUCUCUGAGGACAUGGCUACCCCUGCUGCUCAUAGGAGCUUUAUCUUUGCACUCUGUUUGGAUUUUUCCAAACGGCUGAGGGUGUCAUACACAGCAUGAAACUGCAUUCACUUCAGCCAAACUGCUCACUAAUCUAAUGCAUGCAUGGUCAUUGGGGGGUAAUCAAUUCUUUUUCUUUACAGUGUGAUGAAUCUGACCUAAGAGCUAUGACUCAGGGCCCCUGUGCUAUAAAUAUGGUCAUGCAUUUUCAUCAGUUUACAAGACAUACAGGCGUAAUCCCAGAAGUGUAUCCAUUAAGCAUCAGGAAAGCUCUUUAUUCUUACAUGGCUCUGUGUGAGUGUGACUUUCAAAAGAUGUUGCCGUACAGGUACUUGCAAGCAUGUCACGCUGCAAAGCUUUAAUUCAGGACAACUUAGAAAAUUAAUAUGUAUCACUUUGUCUCAUUUCUCCAUUCUGAUACAUAACAGUUUGUGGUGAAGGAUGUCUUUGUCCGUUUUCUCUUCACCCUUGGAUUAUCCAUCCACUGUGGCUCAUAUCCAUAUAGUCCUCUGGCCCUGUUCAGUCUGAUCCUAAGGUGACGUCUUGGCUUACCCCCAGCCCUUGUUGUCUGAUGAACAAAAAUAAAGCCCUGCCCAGAGCAGCAUCAGCCUGUACUGUCUUCAGUCAUAACACUACAACUGUGACUUUGCUUUGUUUACCCUCUGCAGCAGCAUAAGCAGCAGCAGCAGAAACAACAAUGCCUCUUAAUCCAGAGCAACAGUUUCCCUCAGAUGAACGCAGCCGGCACAAAUUAACAGCAGCUGCACUGAAGAACGGGGCCUCACACCAUUGGUGAAAUAUGGGGUUUAAAUAAUACCUAAGAAUGUGUCUGGAGAUGGCAGACAAGCUGACUAAUAACAGAAUUCAGUAACAAGAGCUGCUCCAAUGGUAAUGACUUCUUACUCCAGAAAUAUCUAAUCCUGCGAAAAAAAAAAAAAAAAAAGGAGGGAAAAAAAGCGCUCGUCUCAGGGUGAGGUUGAUAUUUAAAUUUCUGCUACAGGAAACUGAGAUAAUUGGAUACAAAACACGGAGGACAUAUUAUAUAUGAAUUGUGUGAUGGGAAUAUUAUAUAGCAAUGAUUAAUGGACCCUGAAUGUGAUAAAUCGCGUGGACCCCUGAAUUAAUAAACCUUAUUUAUUAAAGAGGAAAAUAAUGUAACAACAGUCGAGCCUACAUGAAACAUACGACCACUGCAAAAAUCCCUGUCCUGUGUUUUUAUUCUUCCAACAAAUUCAAAAAGAAUUCACCAAAUCUCACAAGUGUCAUUCCAGCUCUCUUUUGUGGAGGGACAUUGAGUGGGAGUGGGGCAUAUUCACCACUCAGCUAUCAGAAAAACUCUAAUUAGGCUAUUUUUAACACAUCCUUUUCAACAGCUCUUGGGUGUUUACAUUUGCUAAUGACAGCCUGAGUGAAAUCAUCUAUCAGCAAGCAUCACCAUCAUCACCACUGACACAUUAACAUGGAUCCUCUGCAGAGAAAGAUGCCGCACAGCCUGGCUGCUUUUUACUAUAUAAAGCAUGUAAAUGUACGUCCUUAUGUCUGUAUGUUUACUUGGCACAUUUACAUUUGCAGUUUUCAUCCCAGACGACUGAAGCAAACUAAUUAAUAGGCACAGAGGCAAAUACUAUUUGGUGUUUUUUUUGCUCCAGCAAACACAAGACAGCUCUUUAAAGCUCCAGAUUACACCCCAUGUAAAAACAUUUUUUGCAUCCAUGUUAUUUGCAUAAUUUUCAUUUUGUUUAUAGUCAGCUUUGAAGCAGAGCUUAGGUUAGGAGUCUCUUUGUCAAUGCACACCACCUCUGGUUGAGAAAAAAGCCUCCUUUAGCCAGCAUGCACACAGAAGAGUCAUAUCGGUGUUUUUCAGGCUCUCCCGAUGUUUCUGCUGAUGCUUAAAGAGACUUUGACAUAUUCAGGGUUUGCUUUAUGGUCACCUUGUUGGGCUGUAAUGAUUUUUUUAAUGCCAUAAUGUAUCAUCAUAAUAUUCCAGCUGGGGAUUGCAUUUUGGCAAUGAUAUUUGUGGCCUGUCUUUUAAUUCAGAGGGGACAGGGGAGAGUGCUCUGACCCGUUUUCUAGUUACCAUCCAAAAAUAUCAUCUCCAUCACUCCAUCUAGUGCUCAUACUGAGGAAGGGCAGACAACUGCUUUAGAAAAGAGGAGGCGUCCGUAGAAAGAAUGCAGAUCAGAAAAUCCUCGUACUUAAUCAGCAGGAGUGAAAGGACUACUAAAAUAUCCUACUCAAGAAAAAGUAGAGUUACUUCAAUGACUGCGACAAUAACAAUCUACCCAAGCAAAAGGAAAAGGUCGUUAUGUUAAAUGAGCUAAAAGUACAAACAUAGGUGAAGUUAUUGAUAGAUAUUCACAGUAAAAGAUACACAUGACUGUCAUUAGUCAGGAGGAUGAUACAACAAGUCAAAAGACCCUAUACUUCAACUUUUAGAGGAUAAGAUAAGGGGAGACUGCCCUGUACUCAGGGGCGCCAAAAAUUGACAAACUGAAAGUUCCUCAUUAGAGUUUUAAAGAGUGCAGAGUACUCAUAUCACUCUGACCCAUGGCAGUGCUGGUAUAGUUGGAGUAAGAUAUGCCCCUCAAACCAUAAAAAGCAUAUUUUCACAAAUCAAUUUUUGGAAUACAUUGAACAGUAUUACUGAAGGAAGUGAUAUUGACUCUGCAGUUAACGACAGUGACACUACUGGAGAUUUUAGCAGCAUUUCUCUGUAAUUCCCUUUGUAUAUGGUCCCUGCAAACUUGAGGGUUAAAUUUAGACCUCUCAGUGCAGCUGACGACAUUUUUUGGCUGGAAAUGAAACAGAUUCACUUUUUUUUUUUUUUACCAUAGACAUCAUUUAAUCAGGUGGCUUUUAUGCAGUUGAUUUAAAGCCUAAAUGUUCAUUCACUGGUGCUUUAUCAAAUUUGACUAAGUGCAGUAUUUUUUGGGUAAUACCUUAGUGAAAGUAAAAGUACUGAUUUGAUAACAACACGUAAAAAUUACUGUCUCUGAUACAUUUUGUCUCUUUAUUGUUAAUUUAAAGCUCCAGUGAGGAAUUUUUUGUCCGUGUUGAAGUUGUCAUCGAUAAUCCUGACAUUGUUGCUGAUUUCAUCUCAUCCAUAUGGAAGUAAUGUUUAUUAACAAAGAAAGGUCUAUCUGUUGUCUUUUUGCAGUGAAAUCCACCACUUGUUAUAAAUACUCAAGUAAAUAUUAACUAAGGCUGUUCCCGCCCACCUACCCCCUGACUGCAGCUGCAGACGUGAACAUUACAGCAUAGACAUUGUCAUUAAAGGACUUGUUAGUUUUUACACAUCAUAGAGACCAACCGCUGCUGGUUUCAUUCUGUUUCAUUACAUACCAAAAACUCCUCGCAAGAGCUUUAAUGCUUUUAGACUGUCCUGUGCUCCCUGUGUGUCUGUGUCUCAGUUGAAUGUGUUGAAUAAAGGAAUAAAAUAACAGUAAUCUUACUUAACCCUGAGGCUGGACUCAAUCCUCUCAAUAUUAUUUGCCACAAACACAUUUUUUGAGAAAUGCUACACGGAUAAAGUUGUCAUUAUGAGUGUGGAGUGAUCGUCCAGACACCUUGGCUGCUCCAGACAAAACAUUUAUGUUUUUAAGUUUUUCUCAGAGUGAUAAGUUACUCUAUUUCUCCAAAAUAUAGCAACUCGCAGGAAACACUUCCUCUCCUGAGUGCUGCCCUGAGGUGGAUUAUUGGUGUGUGACCAAUUAUCUGACUGGCUGAACUUGGGUUGGUAUGCGGCUUGUGUGUAUCCAGCAAACCCUUCUGCUAUCUUUCACCCUCCUGCUGGACACGCUCCUAAGUGAGAGGAUGUGGUGCACUGAAUGCAGGGGUGGAGAGGUUAAAGGUCAACAGAAAGUCAUGAGCUAACAUCAUGUAGCCUCUGUGGUGUACAUUACCUCACCUCUGUAGUGAGAGGUCACAAAAAGCCCCUACUUCUCAUGUGACCCUGGAGAGCUGAGCAAAGACCAGGCCUGGAGCUCUAGGUGCAGUGUGAGGAGCAGCACUUACUAUUAAAAAACAACAGUAAAGAAUAUAUAGAGUAACAGAGUAAUUCUUAAAUCUUCACCUGAAAAAAUGUGUGGUCUUUCUUUGAACCCCCUACUAAAUACACAGCAGCAGACGGGAUCAACCUAGCCAGUCUGAGGCACCAAGCACCAAAAUCAAGAUAUCAAAAAGAAGAAAGAGCCGAGGGGUAAAAUGAAACUCAUUUGUCACACAAAAAUAAGCACAAGUCAAACACUUUUAUGCUUUAAAAAAAAGUUCAUUUGGUGGCAAUAUUUAGCAUCUUCCCUGUCUGUUGGCCUUGAACUGCUGUCAACAGAUUAAGUGUGAUCUGUAGAUUCCUAUCCCAGGUGCCUUGAAAACUACUCCUGCAUCAAAGCUAUCUUUUGUUAUUCUCGAACCAGUUCAUUUGAUCAUCACAAUUAAAUGUAGAUGUCUGCAAGAUCAUUUCUGCCAGAUGUCACUGCUCAUUACAGCAUAUUCCAUUUUGUGCUUAGAUAACCAUGUAAAAUAUGAAGAUGUUGUAGAUAGAUAACUUAUAAAACUUUAAAAUGCGUGACAGGAUAAUGCUUUUAACAUUUAACACAUCCUCAAUGAAAGUGACUGUAACCACAAAAUAUGGAGAAAAUAACUGUCAUGAUCUUAUAGAUGCUUGAACUGGUUAUUAUAUUUGUUGCUAGUGUGUAGAGAUUUGGUGGUCUCUGUAUUUACACUUUUUAAAACACACUAUAUUAAUAAGUUGGAUGAAACUACUUGCUUACAUGUAAAGGAUGAGAAGACAGUCAAUGAAACUUUUAGGAGUCAGGUAGAGAAAACUUUGACAGAGAGUAUAAAUCAAUCUUUAGUUUCUUUUGACUAUAACAGUGUUUGAACUUCUUGACACUCUUCUGUCCAUGUAGUGUAAAAUAUGUUUGUUAAAUAAAUAUAGCAGACAUUGCAUUAUCAUGUUUUCUCUUUUGUAAUGAAACCAAAUGUUUAGACUGUGACACAGAGUUGUAGUUAUUAAAAGCUUGUGUAAUGAAUGUGAUGGUGUCUAAAAACUAUUGGUCUUAUCUCUUAUUAGAGCCAGUAAGCAUCCCACUUUACUUCCUCCUUAGAUGAUUUGUUGCUUUAACCUUAUUUGUCCGUGAUACUUUAAGUGCUUCAAAACAGCUACGACAGAUUUCUGGUGCUGCAGUGCCCCCUCCUGGUCAAUUAAAAAGAAUAAAUAUCAGUGCAGACACAGUUUGCCCUACAUGAGUGUGGGGUAAAUGCUUCAUCUGCCAAUAUGCAGUCCUUAAAUAAAUCUCAUUGUUCCUGUGAUGGAAAAAAAUAUAUACAUAUAGUCUCUGUAUUUUGUUGUGCAAUUUGUAUAACAGUUCACGUCUCAGUCUGGAGUUGGGUCAUAAGUUGCUGCUCGAACAUCUUUAUUGUGUUUUUGUGGAGAGCAGUAAGUCUCAGACACUCCUCUGAAAGGAUGUAACACCAUAAUCUAAAUGAUAUUCCUGCUGGGGAGGUCUGCCUUAGAUAUAAAAUCCAGAGUAUUUGUUUUUGUUUAGCUCAUGAUGAGUUCAGCCUUGUUGAUGAGAGCAGUAUCUGAGGUGAAAACUAGUGCAGUGCAGUGGGUGAUUCAGAGAGAGUUUCAUCUCCUGGUUUGUCCAGCGGAGUUAUCUCAGCGCUCAUUUUUUACAUCACUGUUUGCAUCCACAGUUGCAAACACAACAGAGCAUGGAAGCUGAGCAAACUGUGGUCUAUACUUGUUAGAGUUAGUUGACAAUGUGAAAUAAUGUUAAAUGUUCUUCAUAAAAGUUGUGUGUCAGAUGAAGCAGUCCUUCAAGUAUCUCUACACAGUCACAGAGCUACAUGGUGGUACACAGCAGCAGAACCACAACUCACAAGGUUGUCUGUUAUGUGAGUACAUAGUAAAUUCUCCCCCUAUAGUUCACAGUCAUAAAAUCCCAGAUGGGCCAGACUGUGGCCGUUAUCCUCUCAUCUGAGUGCAGUCCUUGUUAUCUCUUACACACAGUUGCAAUGAAAUUACUGCAUCAGAGUGAGCAGUCUCUGACCACAAAAGAUAUGUUUGCCUUUUGGAGCAAGAAGUCAGUUUCUCCUCAGUCACCGUAUGGUGCUGUAGAUUUUGAAGCAACAAUAUAUAUUUAUUUUAUCUUUGCUUCAUUAACAACAAUCCUAGGGAACCAAUCGUAAACAGACAUGUGUCUGACAUCUAUAGAUGUUACUAAGACAUCCUUUAUGUUAGUGAGAUGACCCAUCAUAAAAAGUUCAGUCAUAUUUAUGGUAGUUAGAAAAAAAGCUUAUACAGUACAUUUAACAUUAAAAUGAUUCACAAAAACAUUUGCAGGAUGUCUGAAAUGGAGCUGUUUUACUAUCGGCACAUCCGUAAAAAUGAUCAUAUUAAAAAGUUAAGAUUCUAGGUUAAAAUGCAUCCUUGCUCACCCUUGAUUAUUUGCACAAUAGUAUUACUCUCAACCUUGUCAAAAUUUUACAAUUUUUCAAUACAAAUACUAUUGCUCACAAAAAAACCCACUUUCUUUUCUUCAUAUUUCAUCUGGUGCAACUUGAGCAGUCCCAAACAUGGAGGUGUAAAAUGAUGACCUCCUCAAGAAGCGGACCUGUUCCUGUGUGGAUAUACAUAUAAGGCUCAUUUGAAGUUGAAUGGACUAAUUUAGAUAUAUUCACAAAUAUUAUUUUUUUAUUUUUACAAAGUCUGUUUUGCUCAAUGCCACUAAUAUCACACGAUGCACCUUCAAAAUGAGUCUGUAGAUUUUUCCAGGUCAGGUUCCACAAACAUAUAAGUUUUCUUGCUAAAUUCAGACUUUUGGAUCCUUGUGACACUCAAGGUGUAUGAAACGAGGUUAUAAAUGCCAAACUAACCAAAGCCAACAAUUAUUCAACAACUGGAUCAUCUGCAUGCCAGAAAACUCCCUCCAUCUCUCAGACUGAACCAGAAAAAGGACCUACAGGCAAAACUCAGAGACUGGAGGAAAAGUCAGAUUCAUUCAGUUGGACAUGAUUGGGUACGCAGAGAAUCCAAAAAUAGAGGCAGUGGUAUCUGAAACGUCAGGCAAGAAGCAAAGUCUAAAAAACAUUUAAAGGUCAGAUCAAGCUUUACAUAGACACCAGCAUGAUUUACUGACUCCAGGGUAAUAUUUUCACUCCCUCCUCUCCUCUCCUUUGUCUUUUCUGGUAAAUCAGCUGGAGGAGCCCUCAUUUGUCGACAGAGCUGUCAGUCAUUCAUCACAUCUCCAACUAAACUUUAACCUAUGUCCUAUCCUUUCCAGCCCUUCAGCCAGUCAGAAAGAGCUUGAACAGUUUUGGCCUCAUUUAGGAGUAGAUUUUCUCAGCAACUUCCUGAGAGGGUCUUAAAUUAUCUGGGUAAACUGCAUUUGCAAACACAAAAUGCUGACUUUUUCACCCUUUUCUCACAGCUCAUGCUAACAAGUAGGUGAGUGCUGAAGUUCAAAACUGUGUCUGGUGUUUUGUCUAGUUUGUAGAUGCUGCUAGUUUUCACUGUUUAUCAGUCUUUUCAGCUCAUAAACAGAAGUGAGUGUACUGCAUUAUAUCAGAUGGGUGGGUUAACAAUGCAUUGUACUUAAACUGUAUGCAGUUGCCACAGCUAUAAAAACAGCAUCACCUGUGAGACAUUAAGUUUCAUCACUACAACACUACAAUGAAUGACUUUUAAUUUACCAACAGUUUGCAUCUCUGUACUGAUGAAAUUUAUGCUUCAACUCUUAAAUUAAAAAUUCUUACAGUCAGCAAGCCUCCUCCUUUUUCAUCACCCCAACUUGGGAUUUUCACCUCCCCUCCAGACAGACUAUUGCCUCACCAUCUUCUCACCCAUAACUGCACCUGACCUUUCCAAAUUCUUCUUCGGCAUCAAUAUCUCCUUCUGCCCUCUGGACCCCACCCCCUCAGUCCUUGUCAAAGCCUGUCUACCCUGUCUGACCUCACUCAUCACUGGCACUGUCCUCCUCCCUCUCAAGCUUGCUACUAUCACACCUAUCCUUUAAAAAGUUUGGCCUGAACCCUGACAGCCCCAACAUUUUCAAGCCCAUCUCAAACCUCCCAUUUCUCUGUGAAAAUCUGUAAUGUUAUUCAAGCAAUACUUCCACUACAACCGACUAUAAGAUACACACUCUUUCUAAUGUUUUAUGUCCAGCAUCCAAUCUAAGUAUUCAAACUGCUCUGCUUAAAGUCAUCCAUGACCUUCUUAUCAUUUCUGGCUCAGCCCUUUUUUGGUUCAGAUCCUACCUCACAGAUGGAUUUCACAAUACAUCCAUUUAAAAUUGCAAAUUCCACACCACCCUAUUACACAUGGUGUCCCUCAAGGCUGUGUACUUGGUCCUCUCCUGUUCAUCCAACCCCUCAGUUUUAUCAUAUUCCACCUUGGACUGUAAUUUCACCACCUUUGCUGAUGAUACCCAGAUUUUACCUCUCAAAAAAAUUUACAUUUAAAAAAUGUCCUUAUUGCAAUAAUUGAUGAAAAUACAACCGUCAAUGUACAGACACGUGUGACACAGAGGGAACAAAAAAUGAAACCAAGAUAUCAGUUAAAUCUGAAGACCUGUGUGGAGGUUGGUUUUAGAAACUACAUUUAGAUAGUUAAGUUAGCAAUGCCACCCUUUUUUUUUUUUUUUUGAAAAGCCCUUGGAUAAAAGUUCAAAAAAAAAAAAGAGAGAAAAUGCUGCAGGACUAAAUUAAACAGGGCUGAGGUCACUGCUGAGAGGCAGCCUAAGAAAAGUCAACUCACCUCAAGUGCAGCACAGCGACCUCACACUGCUAACAACAGCGUUGGUGCAGACUGUGUCCCCGUGCUCUUCACUCGUAUGCAAAAGGUGGAGGACUCUCAGCCUGCGGGCCCAAGACUCCCAACUAAGUGAUGCUCAGCUGCUGAAAGAAAUUUGAAUGAAAAGUGAAAAAAAGGAAUAAAACAACCAACAAAGCCACUCUACUCACCACCUUAAGGCUUCAACUAGUAUAUAUUUGACACUGAGUCAGGAAACCAUGGGCCCAGAGGGGAAGUAAGAACUGAAAAGCGACAAAGCAUCUCAUCAGAAAGGCCAUAUAUUACCUGCUGAAUAGAGGGUUGGUGGGGAAGCAGCUACACAGCAGGCUGCAAUCAGAGAUCUUGAGACAUAAGCAGGAUAUACUGGAUAUACAUCUACCAAUAACAGAAGAGUUCAAAUCGAGGAUUGUAGUUUAGAUAUUCGAUAGACAAACAUUUGGAAUAAUGUCCUGAAAGCUUUCCAUGUCCCUCCAUCUAUUAGAAAAGACUGUCAGUGUGAUUCUUUGUCUCAGCUGCAGUUCAGAUCCAUCUUUCUGGGUGAUUCAUGUUCCUGAUUUUACCCCAAAUUCUAACAUUCAUGUUAACACCUUAUUACGACUCCAAUUUCUCUGCAUGGUUAAACUCUGAUUUGUGCUGUAAGUGUUUUCUAUGUUCUUAUAGGUCAGAGCAAGGACAUGAAUAAUCUGUACAACACUGAUGGAGACUUUGAUCAGAUAAUGUUUCUUUUUUUUUUAAAUCUGGGUUAGCUAAGCGGGUUUUGUAAGGUUUCUUGGCCUUCCUCUCAUACAAUAAUAUUUAGUCUGAAAAAUAAUGUGGGUCUGCCCACUCCUCUGCAGAUAUCACAAUCUCUGUCUGCAGGCCUGAACACCUCACUGUAUGUUUCUGUUUUCUUCCCCUGUUUCUUGAUGAAAUAAUAUGACGACACAGAAAAGUCAGAAAAAAUCUGACACAAUUCACAAUGUGGGAGUAGAUACACAGAGGAAAAAGAUAAGGAAAGGAAAAAUGGAGAAAAGACACAAAGAGAUUAAUUGGUAAUUGUUGUGUGCAUUUUUCACAGUAGCUCUUCUGCUUCUCAAACCUGAGACAUUUAUCCUCAACAUUUCAUCACAUCACUUUUAUGUGUUUAAAACACUAGGGUUAUCUCAAAUGUCCACAGGAGGGCGUCCUAAAUCACUCCCCUCACUUAAUCAUACUCAGUAAUUCUUAUGAAUACAGAGACUGUGGUGGGUCCCAUUCCUACAUGACAGAGAAGUCAUUUUAAAACGGCAUACUGGUACUUUUUUUACGGAAAUUAACAGGAGGUUUAUCAUGUUAGAACAGAAAACAAACAAAAACAAAACAUGAGAUGCUGACAAAAAUGAAUUAAUUUCAGCAGAAACCUUCUGCAGAAAUAAAUAUGAAACAUCAGAAGGAGGAUUUUGGUUCCUUGUGGGUCCUCUUCCCAACAGAGGCUGUACGGAAACAAACAACAGAAUAAAUUUUAAUCUAACCAUUGUCUUCUGAUUUUUUUAAGCAAAAACAACAACAACAGCAACAACAACAACAACAUAAGUAUUUAAAAUAACAUUUCCAGAUAAAUUUGUUCUAAUUAUGAAAAAAAGGCCAAUUCAACUUGAACACAUUGGCUUAACAUGCAUUUACAGUCUAUCUAUUCACUCAACAGUUUCUCUUUUUCACUCAUGGCCAAAUGUAAAACCAGACACCUCUCGGCUGUGAAAUAAAACCAGGAUCCUUGACUCUUUAUGUGACACCGUCUUCUUUGUUCAUUUAUAUUUGAGUUAGCUUUGUUAUAUUUCUAAGUGUUAAAUCGUUAAAAUAAUGCUGUUAGGAACUUUACAUCAACUGAGAUGAAAUAAACGCAAAAUAUUGAUUUAUCACAACAUUUGGUUUAACUAACUCACAUGACUUAAUGUUUUAACACUACCAAGAGGGAUGCCUUUUUCUGUUCAGGCUAGUGGACUCAAUAUGACUAUUCUCCAUUUAACUCUUAAGACAAGAGAGUCAAAAACAGAUGACCUUAUUCUUACAGACAGAGAGGAAGAAUAUUUGAAGAAACAGGAAACAAUUGAUGACAAGAGGGUAAAUUAGAGGGCAGCAGUGAUCCUCAUUGAUAGAGCAGAGAUGUUACAGCAGAUUUCUCUUGAUGCAGUCUUUUUUUUUAAUACAGUGACAAUUUACUACCAAUGUAGAGGAUUUACAGAAAGAGCAGAUCUGGACUGACUCUUUUCUUUCUUUUUUUUUUUUUUUUUUACCACAUCCUUCAUUUAAAUGUGUAAAAAUCUAAGGAAAUGUUCAGUUUCAGGAUGACAGAGAUGUAUAUAAAGUGUUAAAAGCUUUUUUAACAUUAAUAAUACUCUUUAUAGAUUGAAAUGAAGACCUGCUCUACACGUCACAGGUCACAGUCUUUAAAAUCCUCACUUCAAACAGCCGAUAAUGCAACAAUUUUCCCCUCAGAAGGUUAACCCAUUGGAAAAACAUGGAUAUAUGAAUAGAAAACAAAUUUGGAUAUGAUGUGGUUAUUACCAAUCAGUUAAAAAGUAAAAAAUAUAUAUCCUGCUGAACUUUCGGUGCCAGGUAAAAUGUUGGGGAGGCUAAAUUUAGGUCAGUGACAGAAUAUGGUGAUUUUUGUAUGUUCAUGUAUCUUCAUCCAUUCUACUGACCCUUGAUUCAGUUUAUCAUACACCUCAUCAUCAUUUCAUUUCUGCGUAAAACCCUCUCUAACUAUUUCAUUCUUUAUCAGGUUGAACUUGAUAAGUGAUUUGGAAAUGGGAUAAACUUCUCUUUCCCUCUGCAUACCCUUUCCAGCACCUGUUACCGCUGAAAACCUCUUAUGUUUUUGGAUAUUUAUUAAAGCUGCUGACUAUGAUGAUUUCCCUAUGUUGUGUCAUUUCUUACAUAUUUGUGAUUCUGUCUAACAUCCACCUUGGCCAAGAAGAAGAUUUUGAACUCUACUGGGACUUCCUAGUUAAAUAAAGGUUAAUAUAAAAAUAAAAGCACACUUCACCAUGUGGAGCCAACAUCCCUCUGCUCUAGGAUUGCUGGCGGUGUGUCAGGAUGUGUAAACCUGUUUCCUAGAUGGGCCCCACUCAAGCAAGCUUUACUGGCUUUUGGAGCGAGCAUCCCCAGAUGGCUGAAUCCAGAGCAGCUCGUGGUAAUCGUGGUUUUUCACAACCUAGAUCCAUUUCUUGGUGCCCAACACCCCCUGAGAUCUGUUUCCUCUGCUGAUGAGGCUGGCCUCCAUAUUUUUCCCCUGAAACAGAAAAAAGACGACCAGUUGGAUUGAUAAAGUGUCUGCUGCAACGGUAGAAGGUCCCCGGAUCCUUGCUGGCCAACGCUCUGUUAUUGCACAAGAGGCUGUGGGUAUUUUUUAUUUUUUUUAAUGUUGUCCUUUUUUAAGUGUCACUCUGGAGCACUCCUUUUUUUAACAUUUAACUGUAGUUGUGACUACUUUAAUCCUAGACACUAUUGGGUGAUAAAUGUCUUAUUUACAGAUGUAGAAUGAUGUUUUUAAUUUUACCACACUGUGCCCUCACCUCAUAUGUGACCACGGCUCCUCUCUGCACCUCCUUCCUGAGACCUGUGCCAUCUCAUACACUGCACAAGAAAGCCUUAGACAAAAAGGUGAGAAAGUUCUGAUGGUGCCAGCUGCCUUUUUAUGCCAUCUAAUCUGUUUAUAUGAAUAGGCCUAUAAUGAUGUGAUGUCAGUGACUGAUUCAGGGUGAGUUGGAGAAUAAUGAGGUGCCCCAUUAUCAUAAUUUCCCUGAUUCAGAUGAGUGGUUUUCUAACUCUGGGUGGUGAGCUCUUGCAUUGUUGCUUCAAACACUCGUGUUCUCUCUCUCGCUCUCUCUCUCUCUCUCUCUCUCUCUUGCUGUGUGGCUGUUUGUGUAGUUCGGCCCACACUAUAUGUUUAUGUCAUGAAUGACAAAUAAAUGGAGCACUCUGAGAACAUUUACGAGGUGGUAAGGAUUUUCCUCUGAAAAUGACACUUCCAUGCUGCAUUAUCAAACCUGUGAGAGGUUUUAAUAAAUCUGUUAUGAGUAACAUUUUGGUUUUAAGACAAGUGGAUUUUCUAAUUUGUCUCCAGCCUGCAGCCUACAGCACUCAUCAUCAGCUAAAGGUGAUAGUUUUCCGCAGAUGUGACUGGAGUGGUAACCAACAUUAUUAAGUGUCUGCCAGCGAAAGCUUGAUGUCUGUGGUUUGUGCAGCUUCACGCUUACACAGGAAAUAGGGAUGAGUUGGUUUUCCUGUUUCUCUUCAUCUGUAUUUUGUUUAGAUUCACAUAUCAGUAGGAUUUUCACUUGCAGACUCUGAAUUAACUACGGGACUGAGGUUAUGUGGUGUCUAACAAAACACUUUUUUAACUAAGUCACCACAUUUUGUAAAUGGUUUCAUAUGCUCAAAAUUUCUGUCAGAAAUGUUUUACAGGAGUGGUGAUAAGAUUAAAAAUUACAUUUAGAAGUAUGUUUGAAUCUAUUGUAUGUAAAAUCACCUGGAAAUAAGACAAGUUUUGCUAACUUAAACUGGUCCUUCAUUAACUACAUAAAGAGUGGCUCCCUUUUAAUGCAGUCCGCCAUCUUACACACUGAACAGACAAACUUGAAACAGCCAUAAUGAGUGUUUUUGUGUUUCAUGAGUAUCAGCAUGAAAUGCAGCAACUGAAAGACAAAGGAGAAAGUGAUUGUUGCGCACAAAAAGACAUUGAUGGUAAAACCCUGUCAAAUGAAGGAUUAAACUUACGCAUUACAGGCUUCUUGUCCUUUUAGGCCACCAUCACUUCAGCAAGGGCAGGGGUGAGCAAGGUGGAAUUUUAGUGUAGAACCUGGCUGCUAGAUUUUGUCAAAUACUCUCUUUUCCACAGACUGAGCCUUCAUGAGGAAAAGUGUUAUUCAAGUUACUUUAGAUAUUUGUUUUUUUACUCACCACAUUAUUCAGGUAGCCUCUAGAAAGAUAUUAAACCAUGAGAGUUACUUGUUCAGUUACUCUACUUCGUUACUCUGUCCAGCCAUGUCAAAGUAGAUCCAAUUUUCCCAUUGUUCACCAGGUGUAGUUCAAUGACACCAUGUAGCAUUUUGGGGGUCUUGUCCUCCUCAUCACAAACCCCUCAACUAUGAAUAAAUACAAGUGGCAAACAGAGUGAUGGAUAGUUGCAAAGUAAAUUUACUCAGGUUCUGCACUUGAAACCUCUGUGGUUGAAUGUUAGUGUCGAUUUUUGCGCCCCCAGUGGCCAGAACACUCUUUGCUUGUCUACGUAGCUACAUGUCUACAUGUCUAAGUACGUGGUGUUAUCUGACAAAAAUCUCAUCCUGCUGACGUUAGACUACUAAAUGUCUCAAUAUUGUGUACUGUGAAUACUCCAUAUGUAAAAUGUCCAAACAGGGCUGUUUGUCCAGGUGCUCUGCUGACACCUUCCUCUGGUUUCAGGCAUUAAAAAUGACAACAUAAAAUCAAAAUUCCUGUAGCUGACAGUCUUUUUUUGCUUUGUUUCAAUACAAUUUGAAGUCUCUUGCAUUUAUGUCAAAAACUCCUCAUAGCAGUUUUCAGUACAUUUUUCAAGUAUCUGCACCUCAUUUGAAUGUACACUUUUUGGGGACACUUUUUCUCAGUUACUCCACAUCAUUAGAAAGACAAAAACUUGACUAUUACUUUACUACAUUCUAUGAAUCUUCUUGUUACUCACAACCUUUGCUCUGAAGUCAGCUGAUGAAUUUUCUCUUAUUUCCUAAAAUCAUACACUGAGGAAACUAAACUGUGUUUGUGAAGCCCUCUGUGUGGUUUGUCUGUAUUUUAAGCCUCAUGUAUCCAUGGUCAAACGUAGAGCAGCUCAAAGCAAACACUACUGAGCUCAGAGAGUUAAUUUGCUGUUGGUAAUGACGCCGCAAUGGAGAAGAAAGAUGACUCUACAUCUUUGGCCCGAGUUUAAGGUUUUCGGAUGAAGAAUAAGUUGUGUUGUUCAGAUGUUUACUCUAGAAUAUGAGUAUUGUGUCUACACAGUCUUCAUCAUGACCUCCAAAAAGGAUGUUAAAGCAUGAGACUGAACAUUUGUGUUGUUCCAGAUGAACAUUUUAAACUCAGUUGUCUGUACUUGCAGUAACUUGGUUGCUGUUUUUGAUUCUGUGACUGGUUGUUUCUAUUAUUUUGGAGCAGCAAACCUGGAAAUUUGCAGCAUGUGAGACAAAUUUCCAAACAAACAUCACAGAGCAGAAAGAACAUCCAUGAUUUCUUAACUGUGGUCAUGCAGAGAGAAAAAUCAACAAUGUUUUAAGUUUAUAAUGAAAAAAAGAUUUAAAAUGUUGGUCUUAUUACAGUUUUUUAUCUAGAAGCCUAGCAUUUCAUGACCAGCCACCACCAGUAAAUGAUAAAAAAAAAAAAAAAACAAUGUUAAAUGCACUUUAAUUCGUUGUUUUUGGACAUUUUGGACAAAACAAGUGUUUGGUGAAAAGCUCAACGUCACCUACACAUGACAAUGCAGCUGGAAAAGCGUUGUAUUAUCUCCUCUUGUAGUGGCUUGGUUGAAACGGAUAUUUACAGACACUUAGAAGUUAUGCACUAUGAGCUCUAUUUUCGUGUCCGCCGGUGAGGCGGCAGAGGGUGGCGGACCCCGCGCAGUGGUGUUUUCGUCUGGCAGGGCCAGGUGUACAGCCAGUUUGGUAUUUUCGUGAACUGAGGCGCACCAAGGUCCGCCAAGCUGGGCGUGGUGGCGUGGCAGAGGGAGGUGUCGACAGAAUCAGCUGCCGCCGUGACAUUUUCGUGCUCGCCGGUGGCGUAUAAAUUGCGCUGAAAGCUCGCCGAUUCAAACCUGGUCAGCUUUCAGCGCAGGCGGAGUGCAGCUGGUCUAGUGGUAUUUUGGUAGACCUGCGGCGUAUCGGCAUACGUCACUGAUGCCUCACCGGCAGGUUUCCACAGUUUCAGGCACAUUUCAGUGCAAUAAAUAAUCAUCAACAACUAAUAAUCUGAGUCAGCACAUACAUUUAGAUCUAUAUAGAUCUAUUCUGAUCUAUAUCUGAUCUGAUGAGCGCGUUUGGCACGUGUUUGGACACACAACCUGACCGAAUCAACACAGCUGAAACCGCAUUAAAUUAAAUUAAAUAUCUAGUAAAUAGACACACAUGAUGACGUUAACAAGAUACGUAAUUCCUCUCCCUCCUUUUCUUUCUUCCUCUUCCUCUUAGAGCUCAAAAUAAGAUGUCUCUGUGUCCUCUCCCCGUCCUGCUGGCUGCUGUCCUGUCCUGCUGGCUGAACAGAUGAUUUGUUUCAGUGAUCAGAUAAGUUAUUGGUUCCGAUGGUUCCGAUUUUAAUGCCAUUUUUGGAAUUUAUGAUGUGAUCUGUGAGCACAACCCACCUUUGUCACGUGAGGUUUGAAUAUAUGCAACUUAAUGUGAGUGUCUUUAUUUGUGGAAAAGGGUGUUUGUAUUACUAGUGGCUCUAACAUUACACACACCAAAUACAUCUGUGCUCAUAUGAGAGAGUGUGGAGGACGCCCUCUGCAGCGCUUACAGUGACACUUGUUGAGGGGCUGCCUUCUGUCGCCAUUGUGUAGCAUUACUGUCUUCAGACAUCUCUUGAUUUCUUUGACUACUGCACGAAAAUAGUAAUACGACUCGCCGGUGGCAGAUUUAAAGGCGAGGAGAGGAGCUGAUGUUAUUGGUCAAUACAGGUCUCGGCUGUGUUAAACCCACUCCACGCCCUCUCUCCUCCCUCCCUAAGACUUACGCCGCUGGGAGGAGCUGAGUUAGGGAGGGGGGAUACUUACGCCGGGCUGCGCCACUCACCAAAAUACCAAAUUGUGCUUGUGAUCGCCUUGUCGGCACGGCGGACCUGACUUACGCCGCGCCUGCAGCACGUCUCCAGCGAGGCAUGAAAAUAGAGCCCUAUAGCUUUAAGACUCUGCAUAAAAAUGUUUUUGCAGAGGCAGCUUGUCUGAGAAGAUUAAAUGUAGCUGUUAUCGAUAAAGGCAAACAGAAUCAUAUACUGUUAUGUUUGACUUCACCAGCUGUUCUGUUCAAAAAUGCUCAAUAUGUGAAAUCUAAAUAAAGUCUGAUUAAAGUCUUCAUCUACAUCUGUCUAGGCUUGAAUGUGGCCGUCACAGUCAGGACGAAGCAGCAGUUUCUGGGUUGCCACAGAAAUGGCGGCGAUGCAAGAUGGUGCCGCACACGCUCCGGG